rnacentral:lncRNA from 1 species
UUCUCUCCACGACAUUGCAUUCCAGGUGAGUUUUAUUUCUUUUGAACCGUUUAAAUUUUCUUUUACUCUGAUUAAAAUGAGUUUUCAUUGUGUUUUGGUACAGUUUUUCUCGUAGUGCACCUUCUCCCUUUGCUAGUUUCCUCGUAAGAAAAGCUUGCGUCUUUUGGAUAUCUUAUGGCAUUUCAACCUAAAGCCAAGC